rnacentral:rRNA from 1 species
GACGAACGCUGGCGGCGUGCAUAACACAUUCAAGUCGAACGGUGAUUGCCUUCGGGCAUGAUCAGUGGCGGACGGGUGAGUAACGCGUGAGCAACCUGCCCUUGUGUGGGGGAUACCGUCUGGAAACGGACGUUAAUACCGCAUAACAUAACGGAAUUGCAUGGUUCUGUUAUCAAAGAUUUAUUGCGCAAGGAUGGGCUCGCGUUGGAUUAGAUAGUUGGUGAGGUAACGGCCCACCAAGUCUGCGAUCCAUAGCCGGACUGAGAGGUUGAACGGCCACAUUGGAACUGAGAUACGGUCCAGACUCCUACGGGAGGCAGCAGUGGGGAAUAUUGGGCAAUGGGCGAAAGCCUGACCCAGCGACGCCGCGUGAAGGAAGAAGGUCUUCGGAUUGUAAACUUCUUUUAUUAGGGACGAACACAUGACGGUACCUAAUGAAUAAGCCACGGCUAACUACGUG